rnacentral:rRNA from 1 species
UACGUAGGGGGCAAGCGUUGUCCGGAAUCAUUGGGCGUAAAGCGCGCGUAGGCGGCCCGGUAAGUCCGCUGUGAAAGUCCAGGGCUCAACCCUGGAAUGCCGGUGGAUACUGUCGGGCUAGAGUCCGGAAGAGGCGAGUGGAAUUCCUGGUGUAGCGGUGGAAUGCGCAGAUAUCAGGAAGAACACCAAUGGCGAAAGCAGCUUUCUGGGACGGUACUGACGCUGAGACGCGAAAGCGUGGGGAGCGAACAGG